rnacentral:rRNA from 1 species
UCGAGAAUUUUUCUCAAUGGGCGAAAGCCUGAAGGAGCGACGCCGCGUGGGGGAUGAAUGGCUUCGGCCCGUAAACCCCUGUCAUUUGUGAACAAAUUGGUUCAUCUAACACCUGAACCAUUGAUAGUAACGGAAGAGGAAGGGACGGCUAACUCUGUGCCAGCAGCCGCGGUAAUACAGAGGUCCCAAGCGUUGUUCGGAUUUACUGGGCGUAAAGGGUGCGUAGGCGGUCGGGUAAGUCUGGUGUGAAAUCUUCGAGCUUAACUCGGAAACUGCAUUGGAUACUAUUCGGCUAGAGAGUUGGAGGGGGGAUUGGAAUACUUGGUGUAGCAGUGAAAUGCGUAGAUAUCAAGUGGAACACCAGUGGCGAAGGCGAAUCCCUGGACAACUUCUGACGCUGAGGCACGAAAGCUAGGGGAGCAAACAG